ACAGCAUCCUCGCUAACCAAAUGAGUAGGUGGAGAGAGGGAAGACUGUCCGAGCAGCUACAAGGCAGGCAGUGUUGGUAAAACAGUGGAAACAGGCAAGAGGAGGGAAAAAAACUGUAGUGAAAGACAGCGUGUGGAGAGGAGAGCUUUCUCUAUAGUACAUUGAUACAAGCAGACCAGGGAUUAAGCAGAGGGUGAGGAUGAACUGGAAGGGAGGAGGGCUGUUCAAUUUCAGCUGCAAUUCAGGUCUGAUAUGCCGGAGCUGCAGCUGAACUCUGAGUAGCACUGUCUCCAGGAAAAAACAAAGUGAUCAAUGUGAGAAGGCACGGGGCGCUCAUGGACAGGCCAAUCAAUGGUGGAAAGAACCUUGCCCAGGGCCUUAUGCAAAUGGAAGCACGUCCCGUAACCUCAGGAGUGAACAUGCGCACUAGAUCAAUGGGACGAGGGUAGAACCUUACAGCAAGAUCAGCCUCAGCCAGUAAAUAUGUAAUGAUGAAUCCCUCAAGAUUUAACUGAACUCAAAUGAACUUCAGCUAGCUUGGCUUCUUAUAUCACAAAGGGGCAAGAAAGACCCCAUGUUGAAGAGGUGGGGUAUGGGGUGGGUGGAGCAGGACAAGAGAGAUUAAAAAGAGCCUUUGCACAAUGAUGUACUGAGGACAGAUGGAUAUUUCCCUUCCUUUUCACUAGGGAGAAAAAAACAGGAAGACAUAAAAAGUGAGAGGAGACUUAUGAAUAGUCACCUCAACAAUUCUUGUUUGAGGUGUAAUGAUUUUCAAUUACCUCACCAUGGCAACAUCUGUGUGUUUUGAGGAACGAAGAAGAAGAGUGGGUAACCGUGACGACCUGGUGAAAGCGCGCUCAACCAUUUAAAACCACGGAUGGUCAGACCAAGGACUGGAGGCAUGCUCUAAAAAGGGUGUGGACUGGAAACAGAAGUGUUUGCACAGCGCAAUGUGUUCAGUGGGCUGUUACCAUGCCAGUCAUGGAGCUGUACAGACCACUGCCAGACCAAGAGUCCUGCACAGAGGGCAUAGUUGGCAUCGCCGUUGCCCUGAGGGUCACCACGACUGGGAGAAGGGGAAUUAGGAGGACGAAGGAGAUGAGGACACAAAACAGGACAUAAAACAUUGCUAAUAUUGUGGUGAUAGGGUUCAGUGUGUUUAGUAGUAAAGAUUAAGGAGUGAGAAACCUGAAGACUGACUAUGCAAACAAAGUUUUAAAAAAAACAGGAGCAUUGCACAGAGAAAUGGCAAUUGCCAUGUUAAAUAAAUAGGAUAUCUUAAAGAGACAGAGAAAAUAUAAGUACCACUACUUGAACUUGUAAUUUAACUUGUGAAUCUGAUUAGGCACAAACAAAGUACGUCCAAAGUACCAUACAACACAAAAACCUCUAAUUUAGACUGAGGAUGCCAUAUCAUGGCAGGGAAAUUCAAUCACUUUCUAAACUCCAAGCUAUGUAAAACUAACUUCUGUGACUGCUUUAUCUUUCUCAUCCUCCACACACACACACACACACACACACCAGUAUAGCGAUGAAGUCCACAAGGAGCCAAGAAAUCCUCCAUAUCUAUCUGUCUCACCUCAAGCAUCUCUUCCCACAUCUGACACCUAGCCACAACACACACAUACACUUACACACACAUGAAACUAAGGAUGACAGAGAGAAAACUAGCUAUAUUCAUUAUAGAUUGAAACAGAUGGCACUAUACAGAAAGUGUACAGAAAGAUAUUCUGCAAGCAUGUACUGUAUGUAUGUGUUCACAGAGGAUGGCACUUAAAAUCUGCAUCAUGUUUCUGAGGGGCUGUUGUGGUGGCUGGUUGGUUGUCUGGUUGGCACCCACACAUUUGUGUACUGGGAGACAGAUGCAUUCUUACAUAAGACCUUAUAUAAUGCUGCCCUGUCCUAUCCAAUAAGAGUGCUCCUUUUUCAUUCUGUGAGCAGGAAGGUUAGUGUGGGUUAGACAACCCUUCCUCAACACAACCACCACUACCACUUACACUUACACGUCCACCCCCCUGCACUCCUGGCAACGAAGACAGAUGAAAAGACAGAGCGAAGGGAGAGAUGGAGGCAAGGACUUCUUUUUUAUGGUUCUAUCCCCUCAGUCCCUUACUCUCUCUAUGGUUCGUUCUGGGGUGAGAUUUUGUUCUCAGGUGAAGAAAGGAUAAUUCAGACCUGGAACCUAGAGGAGGAUGGCCAGUUCAUGUGUGUGUGUGAGAUGCAGAGAGAGAGGGUUCAAAACAAAGAGGCAUGAUUGGGGGAACAUGACCCAUCUUCCUUUAAAACUAUACAGCUAAAAGAGACAGCGAAGGAGGAGCAGGCCGGCCAAGCAUGAAAGCAGAUGUCAGAAGAAACUAGAGACUCUAAGGGAGAGAUAGAGAGAAUGAGAGAACUGAAAAACAGUGAUCUGAGAUGGAUGGAUGGAUUCUAUGAUAGCUAAAGAAUGAUAGAGAGGGGAAAAGGGCGAAAAAAGUGGGGGCGAAGCAGAGAAAGAGCGAGCAGCCUUCCCCCUGCAGCGCAAGCCUCUCUUUCUCUCUCACACUCUCAUUCAAAGGCAGUUAGCUACUCUUUGAUGUAUCUAUAAUUAGUCAGUACACACUGUGAAGUGUUUUAAAAGAAAUCAAAUUGCAAUGAAACACUUGAGCGCUCCAAAUAGAGGCUAACAUGCUCCGGAGCAAGAGGAGCGAGCAAGAGAAAUUAAUGGUGGGCCUUUUUGAUGUGCUUGAUCAGAAAUGUAUUUAUUAACUGCAAAGGGGAGUAGUAAUUAACCCACAGACAGCUUGUUUUCUCUGGGUCUUCUCAUGUGUCAAAUGGUGUAUCCCGCAAGGCUCCACUCUCCACUCGCCUGCUCAUGCGCGCACACCUCCCAUCCCGUCCCGCUGGACCACUUUCUCCUCAAUUAAGUAGACGGUGUGCGCAUGUAUGUAUGUGUGUGUGCUUGUAUGUGUGUGACUGUGUGCAUGCGUAUGUGUGAGGGAGCAAAAAAACACAGCAAUAACAACUAAGAAAUGUAUGGUGGCUGCUUUAAAUCCCAUGUUUAUAUUUAUUUGGUACUCCUGUAAAGUGCAUGUCUGUGAGUUGGGAGAAGUUUGAGUGCAUUUGGAUAAAAAGCCAAACAGCCUGGAGUAGAAUACUCUAUAUUAACAAUGCACCUAAAUAAAAUCUAUAGCGCUAAAAAAAUUGAAUAAAUAAACAAUACUCUCUUCAAAACCGGAAUUGACUUGGACAAAUCCACUCACUACUCUUUGUAGACAAAGUUGCUGAUGGGGUAGGCAAUUGAGGGUAGCUAAUAAAUACUAUGAAUGCGUAUAUGUGUUUUUAUUAGUGUCAGGUUGGAAGAGGUGAAGGAGUUUCAAUACAGAUAGACAACAGAAGCUGGGAUGGCCUCAAGGGAAACUUGACAAUGAUAUAUUCGAACACCCUGUCACUUAAAGUGAACACAAGGAUCUUUCAAGUCUCUGUUUUGAUGUUAUCUUCCCCAUACUGCAUCUGCUAUAUGCUAUGUAUUUAUAUAUGCACAUACUGUAUAUGAGUGUUUUUAACAGGGUUUUCCCAUGACAAGGACAUCACAUAAAAGAAAGCAGUUAGAAGCUCAUCAAGGCCUUUACACACAUUGAGAGAGAGAGUCUGACUGAAGGAAACAUAGAGACAGAAAGAGACAAAUAGAGAGAAUAGCUAGUCUUCGUCACACAGUGAGAAAGCCCAGGAGAUUGUGAGGCUGUCACGGACAAAACACUGCAUGAAUAUUUAGCAGCCAAAUUAAAAUUACAAAAUACUAAACAAAAAAGAGUAGGUGAAAGAGAAAGAAAGAAAAGAAAAUAUUCCUGAAAACACCAGUGGGACAAGUGCCCACCUUUAAUCCCCCAAUAGCUGUAUCCUCAUUGUGCUGUCUACCUCCUCUUCCCCUUCCUAAGAAAAGAGGAGAGAUAUGUUCUGAAUAAUAUGGGAUGUGGUGAGUCUAGCAGUAAAUCCUUCAGAUCAAGUAACCAGCAGACUGGCAAUGUAACCCAGCUCACAGAUCAUAGAGAGGCUCGCAAACACAACUAGUACAGUAUGUUACCUAGAAGAGCUUAAUACAGUGUAGUCCUUUGAAUUAACAGUUUUUUAAAUGCUAACGCAGUUAGCACAGCAUGUUGGAAAUAAGUCUGGCACUGAGCCAAGCCAGCUACAUACAAGAUCCAAACAUUGUAUUAAAUAAAAUGGUACGAAAGAGCUCAAAGCCAGAGUGAGACUUUAUCCCUUUUGAAGCAUAUUAACUACAUAGUACAUGAGUUUUUUAUUGCUUAAUAUGUCACUAGUUUAUACAUUAGAUUGGAUGAUAUAUCAAGCAGCAAGUAAGCUAGCAGGGUAUGAACAUAAACCUCCCCACCAUCAACCAUGAGUCCUAAAUUCUACUCUGACCCGAUAAGGAUAACUCACCAUGAUGGUAUUGGCUAUCUGCACACUGAAGCUUUAUUAUUAGGUAACUCUAGUCAUUAAAACACUAACAGAAGAGAAAGUGAUGAUCAAUAUGUGAUGCAGAAUCCCACUAGAACAUCACAGUAAACGAAAGACUAGAAAAUAAAGCAUUAACCUCAGAAGCCUUCAUAUAACCCGCAAAAGACACGCUGUAGGCCCAUUUAGCUGAAGGGUGCGGUUAUAAAGCCGAGAGGCUGGCCAAACUUUUAUUUUCACCCUCCCCUGUGCACCAUUAAUUCUUUCAAAUCCACUUCCCUCCCACCAUCUUUUAACUUAUCCUCUGUCUCUCUUAAGGCUGGGAGAUCUGCAUGCUCUGCAGCAGAUCUGGUUUAACAGUACCACUGUUGUUGCAUUGCCAUCCCUACAUUUCUUUAUCCAGCCCUUUCCUUUCGACUGUUUUCCUUCUGUUCUUGAUGUGUAGAGGAGGUGGAUAGUGCCCAAGGACAAGGAUGAACCAGAUUGUUUACAGAGGCACAACUUUUUUUGAAGAAACUAAAUGCUAUUUAUUUUUAAUCGUUCCACCAUGUUUCACACACUAUCACUCUGCUGCCUGUCUCCCUGAGGUGACUGGUGCUAGUACUGCUCUGCAUGUUUGUAUAUAUGUGUGUGUGUGUCUUUGAAAAUAUGUUGUUUUUUGUUUACUACUAUGUUUCUGUGCAUGUAUGGGUGUUAGUAUGUACUGUAGCACUGCAAACUUGAAUUUUAGUUUCUAUAAGAGCUGGAAUAUGCAGAUUUUCCAACAUGAACAUGUAUGUGGGUCAUUGUGCUGACAGGAGUGUAUUGUGUUUCUCAGUAUGUCUUUCUGUCGGUGGGAGGUAGGA